rnacentral:misc_RNA from 1 species
UCUCAGAGGCUUCGAUGUCUAUGUAAACAUGGUCCUCGAAGAUGUCACUGAAUAGUAUGUUCUCUUGGGUUUUCUAUUUCAAAUUAGGGUUUAAGUAAAUACAUUAGCCUGCAAGAAAUACAUUCUGGUGUUUAAGUUUUAUAUGUAUUUUAGUUAUGCUAUUUAUUUUUUAAUUGAAGCAAAAAUCUUCUUGUAAAAUUGCAUUUGGAUUAGUUUAUGGGUUUCAACUCUGGCAUCAAGGAACUGAUGCUUGCUUUACUUGGGGAACUGUUUAUUCUUCUUGAGUUUAUGGUGCAACAUGCUAAGAAUGUGGUAAAGCAGUUGUUGUUAUUGUGAAAAUUUUAGCUGAAGACUUUCACAAAAUAGAACUGAAUGGUAUAGCAAUGUAUGCUGUUACCUUUUCUUGAGAUACUUUUUGAUAAUGAUUAAAAAGAAUAUCAAUCUAAAGUACAUUCUCGAUUCCUUUAUUUAUGAUACUGAUUGUUAGGUUCUCUAGUGAGUGAUAUGAUCUUAUUACUAUUAGCUGGUUAAUAGGUGCAUGUGUAUCUCCCUCUUUUAAAGGAAGACUUUCAAAUUCAACCUAAAAGUGUAUAGAUUAUGUCGUGCAAGAUUUAUGCUGAUAUCUAGCUAAUUAUGGCCAUCAUUAGACAAUAAAGUAAUUUGGACAUUUUUUUAACUAGGAUUUAAGGCCCACUAAGCUCAGCUUUCAGUUCAUAUCAUAAGAUUGACUAUACCAAUUUACUUAAUUCUGUUAAUAUUUGGUUCACACUACAGUCUUCUGUUGUCUGUGUAUGGGGUGAGGAAUAUUUGGGGAGAUGCUAGAUGAAGGAAGACAUUCAUGCAUCUCUAAUAUUUUCAAGUUUUUAGUUUUCUGUCCUGCCAUACAGUCUGGAAAAUGCAUUACUGAUAUUCCACUAUUUCAACACAUUGUAACUACCCAAUGAAACAUUGGUUGAUAAUGAGACUGAAUGGUUUGAGCACAAUUGGAAUGCAGUAAGACUUAUGUAUAGCCAUUUCUCAUUCUUUUAAGGAAUGAUUUUGGUCUUAUAUAUAGAUAGUGAGGUUAUUAUGGUUGGGAAGUCUGAAAGAUAAGGAAAAGAGGUUUGGGUUUGGAAUGAGGAUUGAUUUUGUUUAAGCAAGCCUAUUGUUUU